AAAUUGAAGAGUUUGAUCAUGGCUCAGAUUGAACGCUGGCGGCAGGCCUAACACAUGCAAGUCGAACGGUAACAGAAAGAAGCUUGCUU
rnacentral:rRNA from 1 species